GAAAGAUGAAAAGAACUUUGAAAAGAGAGUUAAACAGUACGUGAAAUUGUUGAAAGGGAAACGAUUGAAGCCAGUCGUACCUUCGGGUAAUCAGCCUUUCGGGUGCGAUUCUGUGGAGUUUGAGGAGCUUAACACCUUCAUGCUUUGCAUAUUCGUGCUCUUGGGUGUACUUGCCCGUGUGGUUGGUUAACAUCAAUUUCGGGCACCAUAAAAUGGCUGGAGGAAUGUAGCUUCGAUCUUGUAUUGAAGUGUUAUA
rnacentral:rRNA from 1 species